rnacentral:rRNA from 1 species
CCCUAUGGGGUGCAGCAGUCGCGAAAACUUUGCAAUACACGAAAGUGUGACAAGGCUAUCCCGAGUGCCAUCCGCUGAGGAAGGCUUUUACCCAGUAUAAAUAGCUGGGAGAAUAAGGAGAGGGCAAGUCUGGUGUCAGCCGCCGCGGUAAUACCAGCUCUCCGAGUAGUGUGGACGUUUAUUGGGCCUAAAGCAUCCGUAGCUUGCUAUGCAAGUCCCCUGUUAAAUCCACCGAUUUAAUCGUUGGAUUGCGGGGGAUACUGUUUGGCUAGGGGACGGGAGAGGCCGACGGUAUUUCCGGGGUAGGGGUGAAAUCCUAUAAUCCCGGGAAGACCACCAGUGGCGAAGGCUGUCGGCUAGAACGCGCCCGACGGUGAGGGAUGAAAGCUGGGGUAGCGAACCGGAUUAGAUACCCGGGUAGUCCCAGCUGUAAACGAUGCAGGCUAGGUGUUUGGGCGGCCACGAGCCGCUCUAGUGCCGCAGGGAAGCUGUUAAGCCUGCCGCCUGGGGAGUACGGCCGCAAGGCUGAAACUUAAAGGAAUUGGCGGGGGAGCACCACAAGGGGUGAAGGCUGCGGUUUAAUUGGAGUCAACGCCGGGAACCUUACCGGGGCUGACAGCAGGGUGAAGGCCAGAUUGAAGCUCUUGCCAGACAAGCUGAGAGGAAGUGCAUGGGCCAA